GACGAACGCUGGCGGCGUGCUUAACACAUGCAAGUCGAACGGAAAGGCCCUGCUUGCAGGGUACUCGAGUUACGAACGGGUGAGUAACACGUAGGUGAUCUACCCUGCACUUCGGGAUAAGCCUGGUCAACUGGGUCGAAUACCGGAUAGGAGCCAUUUUGAAUGUGAUGGUUGGAAAGUUUUUUCGGUUUUGGAUGAGUUCGCGGCCUAUCGGCUUGUUGGUGGGGUAAUGGCGUACCAAGGCGGCGACGGGUAGCCGGCCGGAGAGGGUGGACGGCCACAUUGGGACUGAGAGACGGCCCAGACUCCUACGGGAGGCAGAAGUGGGGAAUAUUGAAGAAGGGGCGCAAGCCUGAUGCAGAGACGCCGCGUGGGGGAUGACGGCCUUCGGGUUGUAAAAUCCUUUCGCUAGGGACGAAGCUUUUUGUGACGGUACCUAGAUAAGAAGCACCGGCUAACUACGUG
rnacentral:rRNA from 1 species